rnacentral:rRNA from 1 species
CCUACGGGAGGCAGCAGUGGGGAAUAUUGGGCAAUGGAGGAAACUCUGACCCAGCGACGCCGCGUGCGGGAUGAAGGCCUUCGGGUUGUAAACCGCUUUCAGUAGGGAAGAAGCGAAAGUGACGGUACCUACAAAAGAGGCACCGGCUAACUAUGUGCCAGCAGCCGCGGUAAUACAUAGGGUGCAAGCGUUGUCCGGAAUUAUUGGGCGUAAAGAGCUCGUAGGUCGUUUGUUACGUCGGAUGUGAAAACCUGAGGCUCAACCUCAGGCCUGCAUUCGAUACGGGCAAACUAGAGUUUGGUAGGGGAGACUGGAAUUCCUGGUGUAGCGGUGGAAUGCGCAGAUAUCAGGAGGAACACCAAUGGCGAAGGCAGGUCUCUGGGCCAAUACUGACACUGAGGAGCGAAAGUCUGGGGAGCGAACAGGAUUAGAUACCCUGGUAGUCCAGACCGUAAACGGUGGGCACUAGUUGUGGGAACCUUCCACGGUUUCUGCGACGCAGCUAACGCAUUAAGUGCCCGCCUGGGGAGUACGAUCGCAAGAUUAAAACUCAAAGGAAUUGAACGGUCGUGAGAGUGCGACGGACGACGACGAGGGAGGAGG